UUUUUUUUUUUUUGGCCAUGCCCAUGGCAUGCAGAAGCUCCGGGUCCAGAGAUCCAACCCAGCCACAGCAGUCACAACACGGGACCCUCAACCUGCUGCACCAAUGGGGAACUCCCACAGAGGUAUCUUGGGUCUCCAGGAACGAGGGUCAAUUCAGAGCCAGAAAAGUCUGAUUAUUGCCAUUGCCCUAACUCGCAGUCACCCUGGCAAACAGCUGGAAGUCCCUUUGGGGAAGGGUGGGACAAAGGAGCAGAGGAUAACUUUUUGACGGUAUAGCGGGGUCCCUCCAAGACUCCUUACUUGUUUUAAGUUUUCCUGUUUCCCUGAUCCCCACUCCCAUUCACCGGCCUCAAAUACGCCCGACUCUUAUAAAUUUCCUUUUAGGGAUUUCUUGCAUGUAUUUUAAUUUUAUUUGUUUGGUUGUUUGUUUAUGGCUGCACUCGAGGCAUGUCCAUAAAUAAAUACACAAAUUCCUCCUUUUAAAAAAUGAGAAUGGAAGUUCCUGUUUCGGCUCAGUGGAAACGGACUGGUAUCCAUGAGGACACGCGUUCAGUCCUUGGCCUCGCUCAGUGGGUUAAGGAUCCGACGCUGCCAUGAGCUGUGGUGUAGGUCGCAGACGCAUUGCUGUGGCUGUGGCGUAAGCCGUAAGCUCCGAUUCGACCCCUAGCCUGGGAACCUCUAUAUGCCGUGAAUGCAGCCCUCCUCCAAAAAAAAAGACAAGAAAAAAAAUGAGAAUGGACUGGGAGUUUGAGGUUAGUAAAUGCAAAUGAUUCCAUUUAGAAUGGAUAAGUAGUGAGGUCCUACUGUAGAGCACAGGGAACUCUACCCAAUCUCUUGGGAUAGAACAUGAUGGAAGGUAGGAUAAGAAAGGGAAUGUGUGUAUAUAUAUAUGUAUACACAUAUAUAUGUGUGGAUAUAUGUAUGUGUGUGUGUGUGUAUAUAUAUAUAUAUAUGACUGGGUCUCUACCCUGUAUAGCAGAAAUUGGCACAACAUUGUAAAUAGACUAUAAUUAAAAAACAACAACAACAACGCAAAACUUCUCUUUACUGCUUUGUGAUCUACCUGUCCUCAUGGCUGUAUGGAUGUUUUUUGCUGUUUCUUGCUGCUGCUCCAACUUUCCUAGCAGGGAUCUGCCUCUAGCAAUGCUGCAAUGAACAUCCUGCCUGGGAACUUCCAUUUGCCGCAGGUGCAGCCCUAAAAAAAAGGCAAAAACAAAUCUGUCUUCCUUGCUGGCUUCUAAGUCCGUGAAGGCGGCAGGCCCACCUAGAAGGUUCAUCUGUGUCCUUAGCAGCCUGCUCAGUCCUUGCUACACACAAGGCACUUCCCUUUAUACCUUCGAAUAGCUGAAUGAGCCAUUCCCACGUGCAGCCCUCUUGAGCUCAAGCUUGAUUCCUGGGGAGGGCAAAGGGGACCAUGAGUGAGCCAAACAGGAAGAGCUGUUUUCUAAAGUCUCAGAAGUCACUGGCCAAGAGGAAAUUCCCUAGGGGCUCCCAGACACAGCUGCUGGAAUGCAAAGGAGUGAAGGUUCCCACAGAGCCAGAGAAAAGCCAGGGGGUGCAGAGGCUGGCGUCUGCGUUUAUCUAGAAAACAUGGAUUCUGCUGAGGUCCCAGAAGCUGCCAGGCAGAAGCCCCACAGACAGACUUGAAUGUCAAAGGAAAACAGAACGUUUGCUGCUGGGGUUGGACCACGUGGACUUUUCUGGUGUGUUCGUCUUCUUCUUUUUUAAAAUUUGGGAUAAGGAGUUCCCGUCGUGGCGCGGUGGUUAACAAAUCCGACUAGGAACCAUGAGGUUGCAGGUUCGAUCCCUGCCCUUGCUCAGUGGGUUAACGAUCCGGCGUUGCCGUGAGCUGUGGUGUAGGUUGCAGAUGCGGCUCGGAUCCCGAGUUGCUGUGGCUCUGGCGUAGGCUGGUGGCUACAGCUCCGAUUAGACCCCUAGCCUGGGAACCUCCAUAUGCCGCGGGAGCAGCCCAAGAAAUGGAAAAAAAAAAAAAAAAAAGAAAAAUUUGGGAUAAGAAGCCACAUGCCUCUGAACUAUUCAGACCAAAAGCCUCCCGGGGGGCCCUGCCCAGAACCACUGAUUGUCCUGCCCAGGGUCUGGGAGAUGCUUUUCAACUGGAAGUUUCCGUUUCCUCAUCUGUGAAGUGGGUACAAUAACGGGGCCUACCUCACUGCCCGGGUUGCAGUGAGCACACAGUGAACAGCGACUGGAUUUCGAAGACUUCUCUGAGGCUCAGGCUGGGCACAUAUGAGGGCCGGGAGCAUGGCAGCAGGCAGGCUGCCUGGCCUCCCCAUGGCCUCACUUUUCUGGCUCCCAUAGGACCCUCUUGUGACUUAGGUAUCUACAUGGCCUCACUCCCGUAGGAACACCGAGGACAGAGUGACAAACCCGACUCCCCGCCCUCCCUCAAGGGGCCUGAAGACACCUGGAGCAAAGCGAUGAGACUGCGGUGAGGGAAAACCUGAAGGUGUAAGGGAGCCGAGGAGGCCCCCACCCCAAGCAUCCGCCCUUCUCUGCCCCUUCCAGCUUCUUCUUGGAGCCUCACUUUUCUCAUCUGCAAAAUGGGACUCAAAGGGUUGCUUUCAGAUUCAAAUGAAAAAAACAAAUGGAGUUCCCUGGUGGCCUAGUGGUUAGGAUUUGGUGCUUUUACUGCUGUGGCCUGAGUUCAAUCCCUGGUCUGAGAACUGAGAUCCCACAUCAAGCGGCUGCAGACUAUGCCAAAAAAAACCAAAAAGAAGAUUAAAAAAAAGAAAAGAAAAUGGACUGGUGGAAAAGAGCUUUCCAGACUGCCAACUGCAUCUAAACAGACGACCAGGGCUACAGUAGGAAGGUCCAGACCUACUUACAGAGUGAUGCUUAUGGUUUGAGAGCCGUUUCUCCAGGGCGGUUUAAAAUCCCAUGGCUUGGAGUUCCCUUAUGGUAUAGUGGGUUAAGGAUCCAGCUCUGUCACUGUAGUUGCUUUUGGGUCACUGCUUGGCUCAGGUUUGAUCCCGGGCUGGGGAACCAUUCACAUGCUGUGGAUGUGGCCAAAAUCAAAUUAAAAAUUGAAGGUUUAAAAAUAACAGGAGGAGUUCCCAUCAUGGCCCAGCAGAAACGAAUCUGACUAGCAACCAUGAGGUCGCCGGUUCAAUCCUUGGCCUCAAUCAGUGAGUUAAGGAUCUGGCAUGGCCAUGAGCUGUGGUGUAGGUCACAGACUCGGCUCAGAUCUAGUGCUGCUGUGGCUGUGGGGUAGGCCAGCAGCUCAGCUCUGAUUCGACCCCUAGCCUGGGAACCUCCAUAUGCCAUGGAUGUGGACCAAAUAAAUAAAUACAUAAAUAAAAUAUAAACUCGUAUGGCUUAAAGAAGCUUUCUAGGAAAGAAAUGAUGCUCUCUGUGGAUCCUUUGAGCACGGUAAGUGAUGCGGGCAGUUGGAAGGGAGGGAUGGGGCUCCCAUUUGGUUGCUCAUCUUGUUUUCUAAACUGCAAGGACCUGUGCGAGUGAUGGGAGGGGCAGGAGCGGAAGCUGGUGGGACACAAGCACUACCUUCCCUUCUCCUAAUAUCCAGAGGCAAGGAGCUGCGGGGAUGGGGCCCAAAGCUCACGGGGUCAGCAAAGGGAUGGACAGCCUAGGCUGCCUGUAACAGCACGGAAUAAUACAGAGAGGUAUAUCCUGCUCGUGGAACCGUUCUGGGAGGUGGUCCAGGGCUGGCACAGCAGCGCACCAGUGCUGGGCACCCAGGCUCCUUCUCCUUUGUUGCUCAGCCAUCACUCGGGGCUUGCUCUUAUUCUCAUGCCCUCAGCCUCACCAUCAUUCCAGGCAAAGAGAAGAGAGGCAGAGGGAAAGGACCGUCACAUUCUUUUCCUAUUAAGGACAUGUGGAGCCAGACUCUGAGACUGUGGCCAUGACCCCUGCUCCUGGUAUCCCUUCCUGUAUCUCAUCCCCUCCCACACUGAACAGGAACGACCCAUGUCACCAACAGGAUAUUUUUGGAAACAUGGACUGCGACCUUGAAGGCGAGCUUGUAAAAGAGAUCACAGCCUCCCCCUUUCUCUCUGCUGGAUCACUCAGCUGCCAUGUCC
rnacentral:lncRNA from 1 species